UAAGUAUAAUGCCUUAUCGCUGUUUGUAUAACAAAUGGAGGAAAGUCCGGACACCGUAGUGCAAUAUAGUGGUUAAUGGCCACCAGUUGUAAAAUUAGGAAAAGUGCAACAGAAAGAAUGUACAGGUUAAGCUGUAGUGAAAUCAGGUAAACUCUAUAUGGUGCAAUGUCAUGUAAACCAACGCUUAAGGGUUGCACGCCCAAUGUUGGAGGGUAGACAGCUAAAGUGUUAUGGUAACAUAAUACUCAGAUAAAUGAUAAGGACUCUGCAAAGAGUACAGAAUCCGGCUUAUAGUUAAACUUAUUCU
rnacentral:RNase_P_RNA from 2 species